CUCUCUCUUCAGGUUGGUAUAAGUUCUGAAAUGACAUUCUGCAAGGGAGUUAAAAUACAGCUCAAGAUUAUAACUUCACGUAUAACCAAACAAUAAGCAGCGAUGCAGGACUUUCCACCCUUAUCUCCUUCCAUUUCCUUUGCACAUUGUUGUCAGUUCUCCAUUGGACACUUUAUCAGGGGCAGUAAGAGACUCAGCAUGCCGUACCGCUGCUUCGUAGUAUCCCAAAGAGCUUAGAGCCUUUAGAGUCCUUGCUCCUGGUGUCAGUUUUUAUAACCAGAUGGAAAGCUGUGAAAGAUAUAACACAUCAAGGUGCAGAAGGACAGAUAAGCUUACACAGAGAUAAAUGAAGAAAGAAAAGACACAGUGGCAGGAAAAUGAGAAAAACUUAAUUUGUCGUUGAUUCCACUGAAGUGAACGUAAAUUUGAAACGAAAAGAAAUAAUAAACGAGUGACAUAAAUCAAUGACACUUAUACGUCAGCAUCAACUUCCAAUCAAAUGUUUGAAGUACAUCUUUGAGCGGUGUAGUGGUAUCAUCACUUAAUUCUACAUGUGGCUGCACAGAAUCAACCAAGUGCUUUUGGUGGUGGUGGUGGGCAUGGUAGUAAAGGUGGUAUGUGCAACUGACUUACGACCCCUGCAAAAAAGCUUUCACAUCUAUGGCUGCCAAUCAAAUGAAACUCUGGAGAGAGAGUCGGGCGUUGACAUUCAUCGCCUUGGAGCCAGGUCCAGCUUUCUCCUUGGAGUGAGUGGGACCAGUAAUAAGACUGCAAUACGCCUUUGGUCUAAGUCCUCACCACGAUGCAAGCUGCAGCUCAAUAAGCUCUACUCUGUACAACCCCAAACCAAUGGGAAUGACAUAACCUUCCUCCUCGAAAAUCAACGCAACAGGAUUUGUAACUUCAGAAAUGAUGAGCAGAUGACACUUCGGUCUGGGUACGGCUUCAUCUCAUGCCAAGGUAACUUUAGUGCCGGCGAGGAACAGUGGAAGGAAUGGCUGACGGCCGUGGAAGAGGUUGAGGCGGAGGCUGAGAGAGCAAGGAACAAAAUACUUAUAGGUGUCAUUAGUGGAACGUGUAGCAUGCUGGUGCUCAUUGUGGCGUAUGUGGUGUGCCGCCUUCGGUGUGGACCCUCCACUCCCUAUCACACACAGCGCAGACCCUCGAACAUGUCUGCACGAACCGCCUCAACACAGGACCCCCAUUUAUCCAGGACCUAGAUGCACUCAGAUAUUACAAAAGUGAAUGAUAGCUGUAUAUACAAACACAGGAUAUUUCUUGAUUUAGUUGACUACAUUAAGGAAUCUGAAUAUCUGAAUAAUGUUAAUUUGGUCAAACUCUAAAUGUUAUCUUCAGUGGAUGCACACAGCUCUAUUGGUUCAGUAGGCUAGACUUCAUUGGGCUCCUGUUUCUCUUGUUUUCUUCAAGGAGAAUCCUUUUCCAUGUAUAUCUUGUUGGCACUACAGUUUAGCCUCCGAACUCCAGAGGAAGUAAAGUGCCACACUGACUGAUAUUCAGCUUUCAAAUAAAUGUGCAUGUAAUUUGGGACAAGAAAAAAAUAGGAACUGACAGUAAAAAAUACUACGAAAAAAACAGUGAACUGUAGGACAAUGGAACCUUUAAACAACACAAAGAAAAACUUUUAUAAUGGUUAGCCCCUUCAGGAAGCUGUUUCAGGCAAGUGGCAGAGUAGAUAACAUGAAUUAAAAUAGAACUACAGUG